GCAGUCGCCCUGCGCGCCUCCCCGCGAGGCUUGUUUUCUAGCGCCUCUGGUGGGCCGCCUCCCGCAGGCCUGGUGUGAGCCUGGGGUCCGUUCUCACAGCUGGAUCUGGGGUCUGAAUGCCGCGCCCUCUGGAGAGCCACAGAUGGGUCUCCGCUGAUGCUUCUCUCAAUUUCCUCUAAGAGCGAGAGCUCCGGGAAAGGAGCCGAUCCUGGUGGAAGACUACAGGUCUGAGUCCACUGGACGAAAAACGAGGCUCCUUGGAUUAGAGACCAUCCUGAGGACAUCCUUGGGAGCCAUGUGCUGAAGAUGGCCAAGCCACAGGAUGAAAGGAGCUGCAUCUUUGAGUCACCACUGGAGAAAGGUCUCUCUAAAUGGAUUUGCAGAGACGUCUUCUCGAAUACUCCCCUUCUAAGUUCCACUUGUAAUCCACUUCUUCUAUUCUCCCAGCAAUCAAUGUGGUUUGGGGAAAUUCCAGAAUCUCAUAAUACCUUGGUCAUGGGUAAAUAAGGAAAGGACCUUUACAUACAUGUGAUGCAAAGCAGAUCAAAACAAGCAGAGCAGCCUAAGAGCAGCAAGACCCCAAAGGAUAAGGGAAGUCCUGCAGAAGAGCAGAGCGGUGCUGCAAAGGCAGGCAGGUAAGAGAUGAGGUUUCGCCAUGUUGACCAGGCUGGUCUCAAACUCCUGGACUCAAGUGAUCUGCCCACCUCGGCCUCCCAAAGUACUGGGAUUACAGGCAUGAGCCAAUGUGCCCGUCCUGAGGAGUUUUCUUCUGGAAUUCCUGCUGGGUUUUUGUAGUCAGUCCUCUCCCCAUUUCCCACAUUGGCUCUUGCAGACCUUCCUUUUCCCCAUUUCUAUUUGCUACCAUGUCAGACAUGACUUUUGCCAUAGGAUCUCUAUUCUACUAUAGAGGAAACCAAAGCCAUCAGUAGAAAUUUCACUAACAUGGAAUCAGAUUUAUAGAAGAAAGGGGGAGGAAAGUUUUGCCUUAACACCUGGAAGGGUUUCGUUUCUUUUAGUAGCUGGGAGACAGAAACAUAAGAAAGUAGCUUAGUAAGCUUUCUGCUGUUCAACUGAUGAUGUGUGAGCUGUCAGUAGUUCAAACUAGUCAUUAUCUUUAUGAAUUAAUUAUGUAAUAACUUAAACAAUGUCAUAAACCUUCAAAUCAG
rnacentral:lncRNA from 1 species